ensembl:snoRNA
AUCCUUUUGUGGUUCAUAAGCCUGAUGAUUGGAUUUUCAUGCUAUGUGUGAGUUACCACCCCUACCUCAAACCUUGUUAGGACUCCGCACAUUACCCCUCUGUGG